rnacentral:rRNA from 1 species
UCCUGGCUCAGAACGAACGCCAGCGGCAGGCCUAAUACAUGCAAGUCGAACGGCCCCGACACUUCGGUGUCGGGGUAGUGGCGCACGGGUGCGUAACGCGUACACAACAUACCCGUUUACAGGGGGAUAGCGGCGGGAAACUGCCAGUAAUACCCCAUGUCCUUGCGAGGUGGCAUCAUUUUGCAAAGAAAGUUCAAGCGGUAAAGGAUUGGUGUGCGUCCGAUUAGCUAGUUGGUAGGGUAAAGGCCUACCAAGGCCACGAUCGGUAGCUGGUCUGAGAGGAUGAUCAGCCACACUGGGACUGAGACACGGCCCAGACUCCUACGGGAGGCAGCAGUGGGGAAUAUUGGACAAUGGGCGCAAGCCUGAUCCAGCAAUGCCGCGUGUGUGAAGAAGGCCUGCGGGUUGUAAAGCACUUUCAGUGGGGAAGAACAGAUUCGGGUCAAUACCCCGGAGCCCUGACGUUACCCACAGAAGAAGCACCGGCUAACUCCGUG